UUACAACGCAAUGAAUGAAUCAUGUAUUGUGUGGAUGAGGACAGUGUAGUGUAGUGCCAUUGAGAAGCAUUAAUGAUACUAGUUAGCCAUAUCCAAGCUCCUUGCGUAGGAGCCAUGUUUUCAAAGUGUUGUUCUCUAUUGUCUCUACCCAAAUUCAUCACUGUUACAAACCCACCAACGUUUUCCAACCCUGUACCUAAUUUCAUCACUAGAAGAAUAAGCUCCACAAGACCCUUUCAUCUCACACUCGCCAAAGCAGAGGGAAACCUCGAUUCAGAUUCACCCUCAACCUCCACUUCUUCUCCUUCUCCUUCUCCUUUUGCCACUGACCAAACGGUUUUCGUGACUGGCAAGGAUGUUCCAUUGGAGGGUGUCAUCCAGUUCGAGAAACCAGCCUCUUCUCCUCCUUUUGAAAAAUGGGGGCGUGUGGCUCUGCUAGCUGGUGCGGAUGUGUUGGCCUUGUUUGUGUUUUCGACAAUUGGAAGAUAUAGUCAUGGACUUUCUGUUUUGGACCUUGAGACACUGCGCACUGCUGACCCUUUUAUUGCGGGGUGGUUUUUGGGUGCUUACUUCCUUGGAGGUUUUGGGGAGGAUGGCCGCGGGAUGAACGGUCUCUCGAAGGGUGUCGUUGCUACUGCGAAGUCAUGGGCUGUUGGGAUCCCUAUAGGAAUAGUAAUAAAGGCAGCAACAUCGGGUCAUCUACCGAAUUAUGGUUUUGUAUUUGUGAGUCUGGGAAGCACUGCUGUUUUACUUGUUACAUUCAGAGCAUUAUUAUAUACUAUUCUUCCAGUUGACAAUAGUAAGAAGAGCGAUGACUAUCGCCGCGGCAGUCCCUUUGAACUCUUUGAGCUGCUAACAUCAUUAGUACGGCGGUGGUAGCAAUGGUUUGCAUGUUCAAGGCACCAUAAUGUGUAUGCAUCUAAACAUCAGUUUCCAUCGCUAGUCUCCUUGUACUAUCUGCUCGUAUGAAAAAAGAAUCUGGUGCACAUUUCUUGUAGCAUAGGAAGUGCUUAAGGAGUUGAAUGGUAAGAUAUAGAUGUAAUAUAUUACCGUAGUGGUGCAAGAAUCUUUCACAUGUGAAAAUGAGAAAACAGCCACCUUCCCUUGUGUAAAUAGAUAUGGCAAACCUAAUAUUUAUAUUUUGUUUCACUCA